UACGUAGGCAGCGAGCGUUGUUCGGAGUUACUGGGCGUAAAGAGCGUGUAGGCGGCCUGGUAGGUCUGCUGUGAAAACUCGAGGCUCAACCUCGAGAUGUCGGCGGAAACCAUCUGGCUAGAGUCCGGAAGAGGAGAGUGGAAUUCCUGGUGUAGCGGUGAAAUGCGCAGAUAUCAGGAAGAACACCUAUGGCGAAGGCAGCUCUCUGGGACGGUACUGACGCUGAGACGCGAAAGCGUGGGGAGCAAACAGG
rnacentral:rRNA from 1 species